rnacentral:rRNA from 1 species
CCCUAUGGGGCGCAGCAGGCGCGAAACCUCUGCAAUAGGCGAAAGCCUGACAGGGUUACUCUGAGUGAUUUCCGCUAAGGGGAUCUUUUGGCACCUCUAAAAAUGGUGCAGAAUAAGGGGUGGGCAAGUCUGGUGUCAGCCGCCGCGGUAAUACCAGCACCCCGAGUGGUCGGGACGAUUAUUGGGCCUAAAGCAUCCGUAGCCGGYUCUGCAAGUCUUCCGUUAAAUCCAGCCGCUCAACGGAUGGGCCGCGGAGGAUACUAYAGGACUAGGAGGCGGGAGAGGCAAGCGGUACUCAGUGGGUAGGGGUAAAAUCCUUUGAUCCAUUGAAGACCACCAGUGGCGAAGGCGGCUUGCCAGAACGCGCUCGACGGUGAGGGAUGAAAGCUGGGGGAGCAAACCGGAUUAGAUACCCGGGUAGUCCCAGCUGUAAACGAUGCAGACUCGGUGAUGGGCUAGCCUUGUGCCAGCCCAGUGCCGCAGGGAAGCCGUUAAGUCUGCCGCCUGGGGAGUACGGUCGCAAGACUGAAACUUAA